CAGCAGCCGCGGUAAUACGGAGGAUCCGAGCGUUAUCCGGAUAUAUUGGGUUUAAAGGGAGCGUAGAUGGAUGUUUAAGUCAGUUGUGAAAGUUUGCGGCUCAACCGUAAAAUNGCAGUUGAUACUGGAUAUCUUGAGUGCAGUUGAGGCAGGCGGAAUUCGUGUGUAGCGGUGAAAUGCUUAGAUAUCACGAAGAACUCCGAUUGCGAAGGCAGCCUGCUAAGCUGCAACUGACAUUGAGGCUCGAAAGUGUGGGUAUCAAACAGGAUUAGAUACCCUGGUAGUCCACACGGUAAACGAUGAAUACUCGCUGUUUGCGAUAUACAGCAAGCGGCCAAGCGAAAGCGUUAAGUAUUCCACCUGGGGAGU
rnacentral:rRNA from 1 species